GAUGAAGAACGUAGCGAAAUGCGAUAAGUAAUGUGAAUUGCAGAAUUCAGUGAAUCAUCGAAUCUUUGAACGCACAUUGCGCCCGCCAGUAUUCUGGCGGGCAUGCCUGUCCGAGCGUCAUUUCAACCCUCGAACCCCUCCGGGGGGUCGGCGUUGGGGAUCGGCCCUUUCACCGGGUGCCGUCCCCCAAAUACAGUGGCGGUCUCGCCGCAGCCACUCAUGCGCAGUAGUUUGCACACUCGCACCGGGAGCGCGGCGCGUCCACGUCCGUAAAACACCCCAAACUUCUGAAAUGUUGACCUCGGAUCAGGUAGGAAUACCCGCUGAACUUAAGCAUAUCAAUAAGCGGAGGA
rnacentral:misc_RNA from 1 species